rfam:Glarea lozoyensis ATCC 20868 chromosome Tnknown GLAREA12, whole genome shotgun sequence.
AUUUCAUGAUGAAAAAACAUUAAUCAGUUCUGCUUCUGAACUCCUUGAUGACAACCAAUAUACCAAAACUUUUCUGAACC